GAAAAAAAUAAGUUUAGGAACCAGUUGAUAACAGCUUAUAUUAUUUAAGCUGAUGGAAAUCAUGUGUAGUAUUCGUGAAAUAAAGUAACUAGAACAAUUUAAUUCCAGGCCUUGUCGAGAUAAGCCACGUUGUGCCAAGGAGAAGAGUUAUUGAAGAAAAAAACAAGCAACUCACAGUGAUGGGUUAGAAAUUUGUGGCAACCUUUGGAUGAAAACUUAACCAAAGAAAUAAAAGAUAUCGUUGGAAUAAACCACGGAUAAUACGUUCGCCAAACUCUAAACUGCAAUGCUGCAAUAUACACACGACGUGGUUCUUUAUGUUUAUAAUUAUAAAAAUAUAUGCAUGAGAAUUUUGCGUGUGUUUUAAUUGUGCACAUCUUUUUCCCGCGCAUUUAUUUUCGCAAACCGAACGUUUGGGACAGAUUUUCGCGCACUUCUUACUGGUGAAAUAGAAUAAAAUUACCAUGUACUG